UAGAGGAUCUAGUGUCAGUUUACUUGUUAUCCCCAAGACUCCCUUCCAGCUAUUCACUAUUUUCAUUCUCUCUCUGGAAACCAACAUAGUUCAUUUACCUUAUCCUUCAUUCUGAAACAGGAGUUCUACUAGGAUUUGAGUUACGACCUCCUUCGAGCUUACUGAAUGUCCUUUCUUCGCUUUUGCAUGUACGUCCUUCUGUUUUCAGCUCCCUAACCUAUUCCUAGUCCUGGUGCUCCUCCCACUAAGGGUUUUCUUCAUUUUAAGUCCGCUUUCAGUUUUGAGAUGUGGAGAUUUAUGAAGAUCAUAGUGAUGAUGGUGAUGCUGCUGUCUAGUGUAGGUGGAUCAAUAAUGCUCUUUUGAGCAUCUCUUGUUGAACUGUUAUAUUUUGUAAUUCAUUGCUUUGUGAGUAAUCUCUUGCUAAAUUAUUGCCCUUUUAAGUUAUGUUUUAUGACAUUAUUCUGUACCAGUAAUUUUUUCUUUCCGAUAUA